rfam:Trabulsiella guamensis ATCC 49490 GTGT.assembly.102, whole genome shotgun sequence.
GGGUCGUUAGCUCAGUUGGUAGAGCAGUUGACUUUUAAUCAAUUGGUCGCAGGUUCGAGUCCUGCACGACCCA